rnacentral:lncRNA from 10 species
GGAGGCGGAGGCUGCAGUGAGCCGAGAUUGCACCACUGUACUCCAGCCUAGGCGACAGAGCAAGACUCUGUCUCAAAAAUAAAUAAAUAAAUACACAAACAAAUAAAACAGCAAAUAUAACUGCCGAUCCUGCAACCAUUAUGGAUAAAAAGGGAUUACUAUGAACAUACCUACAACUUACACUCACGCAUGUGGCAACUUCGAGGGAUUAAUCAAAUCGUUAAUCCUUGAAGAAAUGCAAAUGAAAACUGAAGCGUGAUGCGACUUUACACUAAAAUGGCCAACACAGAAAAGAUGAUAAUAUCAGUUAGCAAAGGGUGUGGAGCAGCUGGACUCUCUCCUGCCAUUGGGAUUGUAUAAUAAAAUGGUGCAGUUACUGGAAAAUGUGUCACAUUUCUUAUACAGCAAAACAUACACCAAUCUUAUGACCCAGCAACUCUCCUAGAGAAAGUAUACGUCCACAAAAAAAACUUUACAAUAAUGUUAGGGCAGUUUUAUUUACAAUAACCCCAACAGAAAGCAAUAUCCAUCAACAAGAGAACAGACACACAAAGUGUGGUGUGAUCAUACAAUGGAAUUCUAUUCAGCAAUUGAAAAAAGAAAGAACUAUUGGGGCAUAAAAAUGUAGGAUGAAUCUCAGAAACAUUAUGUUGAACAAAAGAAGCUAGAAACACUCAGAACUUUGGGAGGCCGAUGGGGGUGGAUCACCUGAGGUCAGGAGUUUGAGACCAGCCUGACCAACAUGGAGAACCCCAUCUCUACUAAAAAUACAAAAUUAGCCGGGCAUGGUGGUGCAUGCCUGUAAUCCUGUCCAGCUCCUGGGGAGGCUGAGGCAGGAGAAUCACUUGAACCCAGGACGCGGAGGUUGCAGUGAGCCAAGGUUGUGCCAUUGCACUCUAGCCUAGGCAACAAGAGUGAAACUCCGUCUCAAAAAAAAAAAAAAAAAAAAGGAGCCAGAAACAAUCGUGUGUUAUUGCCUUUAUUUGAAGUUGAAAUGACACAAAUCUAAUCAACAGUGAUAGGAAUCAGAACCGUGGAUGCUCAUGUCAGGGAGAGGUUGGGUCUGACCAAAAUGAAGCAUGCGGGAGUUUCUUGAGUGACGGAAAAGUUCUAUAUCUUUUUGUUUGUUCAUUCAAGUCAGGGUCUGGCUGUAUCACCCAGGCUGGAGUGCAGUGGCACCAUCUUGGCUCACCGCAACCUCCAUCUCCUGAGCUCAAGCAAUCCUCCCACCUCAGCCUCCCAAGUAGGUGGGACUACAGGAAAGCACCACCAUGCCUGGCUAAUGUAUUGUAUUUUUUUUGUAGAGAAGGGGUUUCACCAUGUUGCCCAGGCUGGUCUCAAACUCCUGAGCUCAAGUGAUCCUCCCACCUCAGCCUCCCAAAGUGUUAGGAUUGCAGGUAUGAGCUGCCACACCUGGCCACGUAUCUUGGCGGCAGUGCUGGUUAACUGGGGAUAAACAUGUGUCAAAACCACUGAAUAGGACACUAAAGCUCCGUGCAUGUCACUGUAUGCAAAUUUUACCUCAAUAAAGCAAGUGCAUGCACUUAACUCAAAAGCAAACAUUUAAAUGUUUUAUUGGCCAGGCUCGGUGGCUCAUGCCUGUAAUCCCAGCACUUUGGGAGGCCAAGGUGGGGAGAUCACUUGAGGUCAGAAGUUUGAGACCAGCCUGACCAACAUGGUGAAACUCCAUCUCUACUAAAAUAGAAAAAUUAGCUAGGCGUGGUGGCGCGUGCCUGUAAUCCCAGCUACUUAGGAGGCUAAGGGAGGAGAAUCGCUUGAACCCAGGAAGCGGAGGUUGCAGUGAGUCGAGAUUGCACCACUGCACUCCAGCCUGGGUGACAGAGCAAGACUCCAUCUCAAAAAUAAUAAUAAUAAAAAAUAAAUGUAUUAUUAAAUAAAUUCUUAAAGAGAAUCCUUAUAUGAUAUAUAUAAAUAUUUCCUUUAAGAUUAGGAGUAAAAUGAAGAUGCUUUGUUGAUUGCAUGGCCCUGGAAGCCCUGUUGCAAACUUUAGAACCUGGACAGCUCUCAGCCGAGACCCUUCAUCUGGUGACGAAUGGACGUUGAAUAAAUACGUGAGAGACAGAGGACUGUGCUGUAUUCUCCAGGGCCCAGGAGGGCUAGUGCAGAGUGCCAUGCUUCUUUCCAGUGCUAAUUUGAAAAACCUCAGUGCACCGUGGGUCACCUGCACGGCCACCUUAGGAGUGAGUGUUGUUGUGGCACGGCCUGCACUCAGGACUGGGUUUAUCAUCAAGAACCUGGCAGGCUGCCUCUAAAGAGAGCGUCACCUGCUUAUGGGGCCCAUGUACGUCUUUCCACUGCAGCUAGACAAGUCCCGAAUUCAAAUGACGAUUACGCAUGUUAAAAGCUUGGACUAGGCCAGGUGUGGUGGCUCAUGCCUGUAAUCUCAGCACUUUGGGAGGCCAAGGCAGGCGGAUCACCUGAGGACGGGAGUUCGAGACCAGCCUGCCAACAAGGAUAAACCCCGUCUCUACUAAAAAUACAAAAUUAGCCGGUUGUGGUGGCACAUGCGUGUUAUCCCAGCUACUUGGAAGGUUGAGGCAGGAGAAUCGCUUGAACCCGGGAGGCAGAGGUUGCUGUGAGCCGAGAUUGCGCCAUUGCACUCCAGACUGGGCAAUAAGAGUGAAAUUCCGUCAAAAAAAAAAAAAAAAAGCUUGGACUAGUUAUGAAGUCAACACUUAUUUUUGCAAUGAGAAGACAUUUUCUGGCAGAGACCAGCCUAGGCAACAUAGGGAGACCCCAUCUCUACAAAAAAAAUAUGCAGACAAAAAAUUAGCCGGCCGGGCACAGUGGCUCACGCCUGUAAUCCCAGCACUUUGGGAGGCCAAGACAGGUGGAUCACCUGAGGUUAGGAGUUUGAGACCAGCCUGACCAACAUGGUGAAACCCUAUCUCUACUGAAAAUACAAAAAAAUUAGCCAGGCAUGGUGGCACAUGCCUGUAAUCCCAGCUACUUGGGAGGCUAAGGCAGGAGAAUCACUUGAAUCUGGGAGGUGGAGGUUGCAAUGAGCCGAGAUGGUGCCACUGCACUCCAGUCUGAGAGACAGAGUGAGACUCCAUCUUAAAAAAAAAAAAAAAAAGUGGACCAGGGAAGCACAAAACGUGCCAAUGUAUGAGUAUUUUAGAUAAACCCAAGCGACUCAUCUAUUAUGAAGAAUGCUGUUGAUUCGGAUUUUAUUGAUUGUAUAGUUUCGUCUUAUUUGAUUUGUUGUAAAUAUAAAGAGUUCAUACAUAAUUUCACACUUAGGUAUAGUUAAGUCAUAGCAUAAUUUUAAAAUACUUUGUUGAAAAUAUAAAGCCAUAGAAAUAUUUUUUUCAAAUGGGAUCCAUUUAUUUCUCAAGUUCAACACAAAGUAAUAAAGAUAGCUUACACAUAUGUUAAUGUUCGUUGGUUCUAAUCUAUCGGGGGGACUAACAAACUUCAAAUUUUUUAUUGUGCUGAAUGUGUUGAUACUUCGUCUCAAAGGUUCUGCCGGCUACAAAUUGAGUGAUGACUGCAGCUUAAUUUCUAGAGCUUACUCUACUCACAUAUAAUACUGAGAUAACACCAACAUCACGGGGAAUUUGUGAGCACUUGGUUUAUGAUGUGUGUGACCACACCCUGUAGACUCCUAGCAUAAUGUGAGUUAUCUGUGUAUGUGCGUG